rnacentral:rRNA from 1 species
UACGUAGGGUGCGAGCGUUGCCCGGAAUUAUUGGGCGUAAAGAGCUCGUAGGCGGUCUGUCGCGUCGAUCGUGAAAAACUUGGGGGCUUAACCCCUGAGCUUGCGGUCGAUACGGGCAUGACUGGAGUUCGGCAGGGGAGACUGGAAUUCCUGGUGUAGCGGUGAAAUGCGCAGAUAUCAGGAGGAACACCGGUGGCGAAGGCGGGUCUCUGGGCCGAUACUGACGCUGAGGAGCGAAAGCGUGGGGAGCGAACAGGA